rnacentral:rRNA from 1 species
GAUGAACGCUGGCGGCGUGCCUAAUACAUGCAAGUCGAGCGAACAGACGAGGAGCUUGCUCCUCUGACGUUAGCGGCGGACGGGUGAGUAACACGUGGAUAACCUACCUAUAAGACUGGGAUAACUUCGGGAAACCGGAGCUAAUACCGGAUAAUAUAUUGAACCGCAUGGUUCAAUAGUGAAAGACGGUUUUGCUGUCACUUAUAGAUGGAUCCGCGCCGCAUUAGCUAGUUGGUAAGGUAACGGCUUACCAAGGCAACGAUGCGUAGCCGACCUGAGAGGUUGAUCGGCCACACUGGAACUGAGACACGGUCCAGACUCCUACGGGAGGCAGCAGUAGGGAAUCUUCCGCAAUGGGCGAAAGCCUGACGGAGCAACGCCGCGUGAGUGAUGAAGGUCUUCGGAUCGUAAAACUCUGUUAUUAGGGAAGAACAAAUGUGUAAGUAACUAUGCACGUCUUGACGGUACCUAAUCAGAAAGCCACGGCUAACUA